UACGUAGGGUGCGAGCGUUGUCCGGAAUUAUUGGGCGUAAAGAGCUCGUAGGCGGUCUGUCGCGUCGAUCGUGAAAACUUGGGGCUUAACCCUGAGCUUGCGGUCGAUACGGGCAUGACUGGAGUUCGGCAGGGGAGACUGGAAUUCCUGGUGUAGCGGUGAAAUGCGCAGAUAUCAGGAGGAACACCGGUGGCGAAGGCGGCAUCCUGGACCGGUAUUGACGCUGAUGCGCGAAAGCCAGGGGAGCAAACGGG
rnacentral:rRNA from 1 species